UCGGGAAUCAAACUGAUUAAUGGGUAUGCUAAAGAAGAGCAGAUAGAGUUCUUUAGAAAUUCAACUAGAGUAGAAUCAUCUCAGUGUCAAGUGCCAUAUUAACAUCAAGUAAAAGGGUUUGGGUAAAAAUACUACUUUAUAGUUCUUCCAAUUCUGUGGACCAUGUACUUGGUCUGGGAAGGAUUACCUUCAAGCAGAUGAAACGCAUAGAUUCUUCAUGAAAGAAACCAUGACAUAAAAAAAGAAAUCAACAACGUUUCAGUUAAGUAAAGAUUGCUUAGGUAGAGGUAAAAACAAUUUAGCAUAUUAUAAAAAACUCCUUGUUGGCAUUUUAAUAGCCUUCAUAUUAAAAAUCAUUACUUCCCCUAAGGAGAAAGGUUUUAGCAUGUGUUAUGAACAUGAAACUGUAAGAGGUUUCUGGAUUUUGGACAGAGGCAAACCCAAGGAUAGGUGAAAGGGAUCAAUAUAGUUCUCAAAAUAAUUUAAGUGCCACUAAGUCUCCCUUGACUUUAGUAAACUUCUAGCAAAUGCCUCCCAAUGAUGAUAAUAAGUAUAGAACAAGUCUAUCAUUUUGGGAAUGUUUUCUUUUUAAAGAUUAUUAUGGCACUAGAACUAAUGCUUAUGAAAUUUUAGAUGAUGAUCCAGGCAGAACGAUAAUGUUGGGUAAACGAUUUUCUUCCCAUCUUUGAGUCUCUGCCACUCUAGCAUCACAUGUAUUUUAUGGAUCCGUCAACAGUACCUUCCUUUUCUUUCAGAGUACAAAGAUUAAAUGAACUUCUUCCUUGAACACACACAGAUGGCUUACCAGUUGGCGGUUUUGAUUGUAUCUUCAAGUCUCUACUUGCAACUCCUCAGAACUUAUCUAAAAAUCAUCACCAAAGCUGCAAAUUCAGAUUUUCAGAUCAGGAAAUAUUACCUGACUUACGAAUCGUACACAUGGGGUAUAACUGACAAAGCCUCAUCACUCAUCAUAGGUUCACCCAUUCUCCUUCCCUGUUCACAGCUCAAAAACCUCAUUUAAGAUGAGAUUAGAACAACACAGCUUCAUUAACCUUGGCAACCUGGCAGACUGCAUUGGCCUUCAACCCAGGACCAGCCAGUGAGCCUAGUGCUGGCUGCUGUAUUGAUCCAUGUGUCAUUCUCCUGAACGCAAAGCCGCAGACUGAAUUUCUUUUGGCGAAAUUCCAUUCCAGGCAAACACCUGGAUUCACCCCAGUGAUUGGACCUGUGCAGGCAUUUGUCUAUCCUCUGAGAAUUACUCUGCAAAUGCUGGAAGAAUCAGGGUUUAGGAAGCUCCAAAUCCAAAAUGAAAAAUGAGACCUGGUUUAUGUGCUACAAAUUGGAAAGACUUUACUACUUGUGAUAUCUGUGGGUCCUUAAUCAGAAUACUUUAAUUUCCCCCUUCCCUUUUUUCUUCUGUUUGACUUUGGAUUCUGUUUCAAAGUUUCUAAGUCAACAAUAUAAUCAACUGAACUUAGAACAACUUCCUGUUCCUGACAGGAAGAAAAAAAGAAAUCUCUUUUGUUUCUCCAGUGGUGGGGGAGGAAAUGAACCUCCCAGGGAAAGAAAAAUCCUCUGGCUAUAUUUCUCUGGCUUGAGAAAGAGCAGAACAAGAAGGAGGGUCUUCUGAUUUUGAAUCCAUUGCAAAUACUGGAGUUACAAGUCCAGUUGUCUAUAGCAGCCAGGCAGAUAAACGGUUACUGCUCACCAGUCUAUAAGCUCCCCUGUAUUUUCCAGUCUCCGUUGCAUUUAGGUUAGGACCAUGUGACUAGUUAUGGCCAAUGGGCUGUUAGGGGAAGCUGCUUGUAUCACUUCCAGCGGGCAUGCCUUCUCCAUCUCCUUCCUCUGCUGUGGUGCCUUUGGAGGUCACAUCUUCCACGUAAGAGGGAACUAUCUGGCCUUUGACCUAUAGUCCACAUUACAUAAAGUAGAAAUAAAUCUUUAGCAUAAGGCCACUGAGAUUUUCGAGAUUUGUCUAGAGCAGCUGCUACUCAAAUGCAACAUCUUGGAUAAGACACACUUUAUCAAAUAUAAAGACAUGUUCUUCACUGUCUCAAGAAAAUAUUCUGUCUGCUAUAUUUCUUAAAUAAACUAACAAUGAUAGUGGCUAAUAUUUAUUUUAUACUCACAAUGUUCCUUUAUUAUCCCCAGUUUACACAUGAGGAAACUGAGACACAGAGAGGCUAACUCUUGCCUGAUGUCACAUAGCAACUCAACUGACAGGCUACCAUAUUUGGGCCGAGAUAGUCUGACUUUUGAAUCCACAAGCUUAAUUGUAUGUUACCAGCUACUUCUCAGAUUAUUUUUAAUUUUACAUUUUUAUUAAAAAUAUGGGUAAAAUAAAUAUUUUAUUUUUC